ACGUGAAGGUGUGUGGCGACUUCUUUUGAACAUCAUCUCUUCUUCCCAAUGCCUCUUCCUCCCUUUUCCUCUUCAUCUCCAUGUUAAGAUCUGAUAGAGAUCAGAUCUAAGAAGAAAAAAAAGAGAGAUAAAAAGAAGAAGAAGGGUUAUUCUUCUCUUCAUAGUGAUCUGGUUCAGAUCCCAUUGGAUCUGUGCGAAAGAGUUCACUCAGCGAUCUCCUUCUUCGAGAUCUAGAAGAAGAGAUCCAGAUCUAGAGAUG
rnacentral:lncRNA from 1 species